GCGGGAAUUCGAUUUUCCGGUUGAUCCUGCCGGACCUGACUGCUAUCGGAUUGAUACUAGGCCCAUGCGAGUCAUUGUAGCAAUACAAGGCAUACGGCUCAGUAACGCGUAGUCAACCUACCCUAUGGACGGAAAUAACCUCGGGAAACUGAGAAUAAUAUCCGAUAGAACAUUAUGCCUGGAAUGGUUUAUGUUCCAAAUGAUUUAUCGCCGUAGGAUGGGACUGCGGCCUAUCAGUUUGUUGGUGAGGUAAUGGCCCACCAAGACUAUUACAGGUACGGGCUCUGAGAGGAGUAGCCCGGAGAUGUGUACUGAGACACGGACCCAGGCCCUAUGGGGCGCAGCAGGCGAGAAAACUUUGCAAUGUGCGAAAGCACGACAAGGUUAAUCCGAGUGAUUUCUGCUAAAGAAAUCUUUUGUUAGUCCUAGAAACACUAACGAAUAAGGGGUGGGCAAGUUCUGGUGUCAGCCGCCGCGGUAAAACCAGCACCUCAAGUGGUCAGGAUGAUUAUUGGGCCUAAAGCAUCCGUAGCCGGCUCUGUAAGUCCUCGGUUAAAUCUGUACGCUUAACGUACAGGCUGCCGGGAAUACUGCAUAGCUAGGGAGUGGGAGAGGUAGACGGUACUCGGUAGGAAGGGGUAAAAUCCUUUGAUCUAUUGAUGACCACCUGUGGCGAAGGCGGUCUACCAGAACACGUCCGACGGUGAGGGAUGAAAGCUGGGGGAGCAAACCGGAUUAGAUACCCGGGUAGUCCCAGCUGUAAACUAUGCAAACUCAGUGAUGCAUUGGCUUGUGGCCAAUGCAGUGCUGCAGGGAAGCCGUUAAGUUUGCCGCCUGGGAAGUACGUACGCAAGUAUGAAACUUAAAGGAAUUGGCGGGGGAGCACCACAAGGGGUGAAGCCUGCGGUUCAAUUGGAGUCAACGCCGG
rnacentral:rRNA from 2 species